rnacentral:rRNA from 1 species
ACGUGAUGAACUGCAUGUCUUGUUCAUCAAUGUACGUCGAAAUAUGAAGCUGACAGUUCACAACGAGGAUAAUGACACCACAAGCUUUUUAGACAGAAAUUUUUCUGCGAAAAGAUGGUUCGAUUAGAAGAUCCACUUAACAAAAAGAUACCUGGUCGGGACAAUAUCUCCUCUUCAGCAGCUUUGUCCCAGUAUGGGUGAGAGACCCUUCGCAGCUGCCGGGAAAGGUGUUCCUACGAGGAAUAAAAUUGCGGGAGGGCUUCUGCCUACUAAAACGAGAGCCUCGAGAGGUGGGCGAACACCAGCCCACGGGAUAAUGUGCAAAGGUGGUUGCGGGCAUCCUGAGUCCGUAGACAAUAUAUUACAAUCUUGUCAGUUAACGCACAAUGCGAGAUGUGAAAUGCAUAACCGAGUCGUGGGAAAGAUCAACAAGGUUCUGUGCAGGAAGUGUGAGAAGGUAUGGAUGAAGCCUAUUGUGCCGUGCGAGAACUCGUUUAGGAAGCCCGACCUGGUAGUCCGCGAGAGGGGAGUGGUGUACGUGAUGGGUGUCUGUGUGACGACUUCGGCGCGAAUGGAGGAAACUCGCAGGCUGAGGGUUCAGAAGUACGGCACGGAAUCUGUGAUUGGGGCGGUGCGAGACCUGGCAGGAGUGGACGAGUCAACUCGGGUUGUGAUCACCAACAGGGGUCUUCUCUCGAAAGAGAGUGGCUCUUCGUUGCGCAAUUUGGGGUUUACGUGGUCUGAGUUGUCCGAUUUGGCUAUGAGUAUUAUACUUGGUUCGCUGAGGGGGUACGAUCUUUACAUGCGUGGUACGAGACGGUAUUGAGAAACCUGGGGCGAAAUGUCAUGGGGGUCCGUGAAGUUUGCUGUACCAUGGCUGGCGCUAGCCUCUGUUGACAUGAUGUGUUGUUGGAGACAGCGGCGCAUUCCCUGCUUCACGCUAACAACCGCAUGUGUCCACCUAUGGAUCGGCCCACAUGUACUAACUAAAGGAGCGUCACAUAUGAAUGCUCGCUGCGGGUUGGAUUCUCUUGCUCUGUAACUGUGCUAAACCGUUGGUAAGCAGCUUUUGCUGCCUCCAGAUGACGCGUGGAACGUACCCCCUGGGAAGUGUCGCGAGUGCUUGCCGGAUAGAUGUAGACCGACUGGAACGAUGUUUAUUGAUGUCUAAUGUCAUCUGGAAAACAACCCGUAGAAUAGCCAAAUGCCUCGUCAUCUAAUUAGUGACGAGCAUGAAUGGAUUAACGAGAUUCCUACUGUUCCUAUCUACUAUCUAGCGAAACUACAGCCAAGGGAACGGGCUUGGCAAAAUUGGUGGGGAAAGAAGACCCUAUUGAGCGUGACUCUAGUUCGACUUUGUGAGGAGACAUGACGGGUGUAGAAUAAGUGGGAGACCGGUCCUUCGAGGCUUGUCGACAGUGAAAUACCACCACCGUCAUUGUUUCUUUGCUUAUUCAGUAAAACGAGAAAUCGAUUUUGGCUCUUAGCGCAUGCUGGCGUCCGUGGCGUAUACUGCGNGCGGUGUGCAUGGGUAACUGUGUGCGCAAUGCGGUCUUGCUCUCUUCGUCUGGCGUUCAACGGCUAACUCAGAACUGGCACGGACCAGAGGAAUCCGACUGUCUAAUUAAAACAAAGCAUUGCGAUGUCCACUGAUCGGUUUUGACGCAAUGUGAUUUCUGCCCAGUGCUCUGAAUGUCAAAGUGAAGAAAUUCAAUCAAGCGCGGGUAAACGGCGGGAGUAACUAUGACUCUCUUAAGGUAGCCAAAUGCCUCGUCAUCUAAUUAGUGACGCGCAUGAAUGGAUUAACGAGAUUCCUACUGUCCCUAUCUACUAUCUAGCGAAACCACAGCCAAGGGAACGGGCUUGGCAGAAUUAGCGGGGAAAGAAGACCCUGUUGAGCUUGACUCUAGUCCGACUUUGUGAGGAGACAUGACGGGUGUAGAAUAAGUGGGAGACCGGUCCUUCGGGGCUUGUCGACAGUGAAAUACCACCACCGUCAUUGUUUCUUUGCUUAUUCAGUAAAACGAGAAAUCGAUUUUGGUUCUUAGCGCAUGCUGGCGUCCGUGGCGUAUACUGCGGGGGUUGGUAUCUUGGUCAUGUUAGAGUAGUCGUGAUCUCGGCUGCGGCGUUUGAGCCUGAUUGUGAUGUGCGACCCGUUCUGAAGACAAUGUCAGGCAGGGAGUUUGACUGGGGCGGUACAUCUGUCAAGUGGUAACGCAGGUGUUCCAAGGUGAACUCAGCCAGGACGGAAACCUGGCGUGGAGUAAAAGGGCAAAAGCUUACUUGAUUUUGAUUUUCAGUACGAAUACAGACCGUGAAAGCGUGGCCUAUCGAUCCUUUUGAAUCCGAUAUUCAGAGUUUGAAGCAAGGGAUAACUGGCUUGUGGCGGUCAAGCGAUGAUUACAGUGCAAACAAUGUUUAUGAGUACAGAAGAUUUUCACGGCAGAUACACUGCAGGAAACCAAUCGGACAACUAAAACUGUGAUGGCAAAUGAACCGCCAACAUCAUCCCUGGUAAAAUAUCGCCACCUGAUAAUCAAACCGCAAUAUCUAAGAUGAAAGUAUACUUAAAGCUCCCUUACAAAGGUGAUAAUGUGAGCGAGUUGAUCUGCAAAUGUAUGCAGUCAAGGUGUCAGUCGCACCCUCCAUGUUUC